rnacentral:rRNA from 1 species
AGUGGCGGACGGGUGAGUAACGCGUGGAUAACCUACCUCAUACAGGGGGAUAACAGUUGGAAACGACUGUUAAUACCGCAUAAGCACACGGGACUGCAUGGUUCUGUGUGAAAAACUCCGGUGGUAUGAGAUGGGUCCGCGUCUGAUUAGCUAGUUGGCAGGGUAACGGCCUACCAAGGCGACGAUCAGUAGCCGGCCUGAGAGGGUGUACGGCCACAUUGGGACUGAGACACGGCCCAAACUCCUACGGGAGGCAGCAG